AUCCAUCCCCGAGGGACCAGGAGGUUGCGGAAGGUGGGAGAGGGUGUGUGUAACAAAGGAGUGGGGGUCAUCAAGAAGAAGAGGAGGAGGGGGUGGCUUUCUGAUCUCAGGUGCUUUACCUGACGCAGCUCACAGCAUCCUCGCAAGGCAUCUCUCUCUGAUGCCCAUUAUCGCCAGGUGUGACAGCUGAUCAGAGAGGGUACCCGACUUUGCCAAGAGCGCUUAGCCCCAGAACUCCACAGCCCACUUUCAAUACCGGCUCUGCCUGACUCCAGAGCCCGGGGGGUAGUGGUGCCUGCCAGGAAGCUGA
rnacentral:lncRNA from 10 species